AGUGAACGCUGGCGGUAGGCCUAACACAUGCAAGUCGAACGGCAGCACAGUAAGAGCUUGCUCUUACGGGUGGCGAGUGGCGGACGGGUGAGGAAUACAUCGGAAUCUACUUUUUCGUGGGGGAUAACGUAGGGAAACUUACGCUAAUACCGCAUACGACCUACGGGUGAAAGCAGGGGAUCUUCGGACCUUGCGCGAUUGAAUGAGCCGAUGUCGGAUUAGCUGGUUGGCGGGGUAAAGGCCCACCAAGGCGACGAUCCGUAGCUGGUCUGAGAGGAUGAUAAGCCACACUGGAACUGAACCACGGUCCAGACUCCUACGGGAGGCAGCAGUGGGGAAUAUUGGACAAUGGGCGCAAGCCUGAUCCAGCCAUACCGCGUGGGUGAAGAAGGCCUUCGGGUUGUAAAGCCCUUUUGUUGGGAAAGAAAAGCAGCAGGUUAAUACCCCGCUGUUCUGACGGUACCCAAAGAAUAAGCACCGGCUAACGUCGUG
rnacentral:rRNA from 1 species